GCAAUAUUUCUCCUAUACCCGUUAAGCUCUCUCACGUCAGAUCGGAAGCAACUUCCCGUCCGAUCGCUCAGCUUUUAGCCGGUGUGGAAAUUUCAUUUCUCUCCCCUUCUUCCAUUGUCUCGCCUGUUCUCUGUCAUCGUUUGUCGUUCGAUUCUGUUUAAAAACUCCCAAGGGCAGUUACUGAUUCUCUGUCGUUGGCGGUCGCAUGAUUAGAUUGAAGAACUUCCGAGAGCUGUCACAGUCGAUCUCCAAAUUGACACCACUCUCUGGUUGACCCGAGUCCACGAUCGCCGUCCUUGGAUCGUCCUCCGUAGUGGCUGGUGGUCUUUGUUCACCGGUUCCGAUGGACAUAGAGCAAAGUAGUAUGAUAUUAUACAUCAUUUGUUCGUAUGAAGGUGAGCAUCGUGUAAUUGGUGUAGAAGAUGGCAAAAAGCUGCGGAUCUUUACAUGAAUCUAUCAAAAAAAGGGAAUAAGUUUGGUGUUGAUAUCCUGGGAAAAAAUAUUCUGGUGAUUGAUAUAAGUAACGUGUUGGAUUGCCUACAACCUUACUUUUUCAGAAACAUCAUGCGAAAGUGACAAUUCUUCAACCCCUACUAAAAAUCCAGAACAAAUUUUUCAUGAAGCUGAUAUCUUAAUUGCAGCUACAGAAGUACCCAAUUUGGUCUGUG